rnacentral:lncRNA from 1 species
CGUGUGUUGAUCCGAAUGAAAGGUUUGAGACAUGGAAUAGUACUAAUGGAAAGAUUGGAGACUCCUGAAAGCAUUUUCCAAAGUAUAUAGAAUCUACGAAGAACGGAUACUUUUGUCCGAAGUGAUUACAAGCAAAGAUAAAUUCCUGUAAAAUUCGUUAAUGGGCUUGGCCCUUUAGGGUUCUUCGUUGCUAGUUCUGAUUUUCAUUAUGGAUAUGUUUUGUCUCCUAAACUGAUCAACUAUUACAUAUAUCAUCUUCAAUUCUUUGUUUUUUCCGGGUUCUUCCAAUAAAGAUUAUUUAUCAAAUUUGAAGAAAGGGUUUCGGCUGGAGAAGGAUUGAAACCAUGAAAAGGAAGGUCAGAGUUUCAUACUCAGAUCCUGAUGCCACUGAUUCUUCAUCGGACGAAGGUGGUGAUGGAACCGCAAAAAAAUCGAAGAGGAUGGUUCAUGAGAUUGUACUUCAGCCGGAAAAAAUUCUUGACAAGAAGGGUUCUGGAAAAAUUCAUGCACGAAUUAAGAAAUUGAAUUCGAGGGUUCUUGAUCAUAACGGGAUGAAAAAAUUAAUUGGGGUGCGGAGGAGAAGAUGGGGAAAAUACUGUGCUGAGAUCAGAGAUCCUUUCAAGAAGAAAAGAGUUUGGUUGGGGACUUACAACUCUGCUGAAGAGGCCUCCAAUGCUUACCUGGACAAGAAGCGUGAAUUUGUGGAAAAACAGAGUGCUGGGCAGGGAAUUGAUUGUGUUCCUUGUGAGAAUUCCUCUGAAGAUUCUUCACCUACGGUUAUCGAAUUUGAUACCCCGGAUUCUCCAAAUGAAGUGAGCAUGAUAAAAAAGGAUGUUUUUGAGGAAACCAAGGUUGGUUCAAAUGCGGAACAGAAUAGUUCACUUUCAGACGGACAGACUGUCAAGUUUGGGAUGCUGUAUGGUGUGCAAAUUAUUAACAAUCAUGGAUUUCUCUUGGGUGAAUUCAGCAAGUUAGAUGACUUUAGCAUUCGUGUAUCGGAAUAAGACUCAGCUUUCAUGUAUCCCAAUAAGACUAUUUUCCUAAAUAUGUUUUUCUGAUUAAUGUUGUUAUGUCAUCAAUGUUUUGUUCAUUCUUAGUAUCUUAUUUGUUAUAGCUUUUUAUUUUCAAACAUUGGAAUAGCAAUAUUCAUUGUAGGUUUGUAGUACUUGCCUUUGGAGUAGUCAGUUCGGUAUAUAUAUAAAGACCUUGAAUAAAAGUUUUAAUGAGUGAUUUUAGUAAGUAAAUUCAGUUGGAAAUCUUGGCAAGGGAACUCGACAAUAGAAAAAGCAACUUAUAGUACGUAUAAGUUUAAAAUAAGGAGGGUUUCAAUUCCAUUCAGUUACUUCUGUUUUUUGUUCAAUUCAUCCUUUUUUCCAGUUGUGCAUGCAAUGCGUGGUUAUUUUAUGCAGUAAACUUCUCAAGUUCCAGUGCAUUGAAUUCAUUGAAAAGGUAGCUCAAUACGAGCUGUGUGUGCUGAGAUUAUCUGGACUUGGAGUGGAAUGUACAUAUAUGGAUGAAUAAUUAUUUCUGUAAUAAUUUUCUUAAACUUGUUUUCCUAUGCUUCGGUUUUUCAUCUUCUUGAUGGAAGCAAAUAGUUGAAAGUAUGUUAAAGGCUCUUGAAGGCAGACGAGGUGAAUGCAUGAGGAGCUACGAAGUUUGAAACUAAAGUGCUAGUCUAGAUGAUAAAAAAGGUACUUUAAAGUUAAAACUCAACAGAAUUAACAUGUCAUUUUAGCCUUGUGUCUCCCUCAUGGUAUUUAUUGCAAGUGAAACUUUCCUGUUUCAUGAUGUCAUUCUUGAUCUGCCUACAAUAGAACCAAAUUAACUAACCCUGUUUUAACUUCUUCUCUUCCGAAGGUUUAUAUUAAUUAAAUGCUUACGUGAAUACUCAAGAAGAUAUCUGUAAUAGACCAUAUUCUCAACUUGCUACAUGUAUAGCAGUAAGGGUUGGCUAUAUCUUAACUUACUUGUGUCUUUUGGUGCUCGAAAAAAAUAAAAAUCUCCUUCCUAGAAUAAUUGACAAAUAUAAUGCAGUCCAAUAGUCAUUUUUCCUCAAAUACGUGCAUUAUGAAUUACUUUAUCUGAAGAAAAACUAGUUUGCUUGGGCACUUGCAACGCUGCUGAAGAUGCCUCCAAGGUGCAUUUGGCAAGAAGCUUGAGAUUGAGUGCCAAGAGGGCAAUUAAUUAUUUCCCUCUUUCCUUCUUAUCACAUUACUGUCUAAUUUACAUGCUUGUUUUGUUGUGAUCGGUUAUCUUUGAUCUAUGGUACUUCUAAAAAUAAGAUCUCCUUCCUAAACGUCGUACGUGGAUAGCAGUGAGGUCUUGGAUCGAAAGAGCGUAACUUCUCCUUCCUAAAAUAAGUGUUGGUAUAUAAUGCAUUCCUACAGUCAUUUUCCCCCCAAAUGGAUACAAUUAUGAACUACAUCAAAAACAAAAAGAUGGAUAAGGGAAAUUCUUUCUUUGCAGUCGAAGCAAAGGAAACCCCGUGAUUUUAACUAAUGUUGCUUUUCAUUGAUUAAGAUGGAACAUCUAACUGCCAAAUGGUCUUGUACAGUUCUCCUUACGGUAUUAUUCUUAAUUGGAUAAGCUGCUCUAAAUUCUGUCUUUCACACGCUCAGAUUGAAACUAGUUCAUUGGUUUCUGAAGGAGAAAAUAUAAGGUCAUAUGUCGAGCCUCUCAGUUUCUUGUUUCUUCCUUUUACAAAAUGGCAACUUUGUGGGCAGUGUCUUUUGGCAUAGAAUUUGGUAGCUCAGCAUGCUUUAGAAAAAGAAGUCGAAUUAGAGCUACAAUUUAGGGGUGUAUACAAUGAUUUCUCUCUCUCGCUCUCUCUCUCUCUUCCUUAUAUGAGCUAUUGUUCUUGUCCUGAAACAGUUUUGAACAAGUUUCUUUUAGAGUGAUGGAGCUUGGAGUUACUUUUCGUGGUAUAGCACAAAAGGAAAUACAGAAUAGUUAAUAGCGUUGUUCAUCUCUUUUUGUUACUGGUGCUGGAGAUAUGGCUUUGAAGAAGAAAUUGAACCAGAUUUCCAUAAGCUAUUGUUACUAUGUCGAAGAAAUUUUGCUGCUUGAUGUCAAGAAAAGAAGUAGAAUUCCUGUUGUAUAAGCUGCUUUUUGCUAUAAGGAAGAAAUUGAACUACUUUAGUCAAAUGCAUUAUUGAUUUAGUUAGAACUAAUGAAGAAAUUGUAUGCACUGCUUCGUAAUAUUAGUCCUCAUUAAGCCAUU